rnacentral:rRNA from 1 species
GUGGGGAAUCUUGCGCAAUGGGCGAAAGCCUGACGCAGCAACGCCGCGUGGGGGAUGAAGGCUCUCGGGUUGUAAACCCCUUUCAGCAGGGACGAAUCAAGACGGUACCUGCAGAAGAAGCCCCGGCUAACUACGUGCCAGCAGCCGCGGUAACACGUAGGGGGCAAGCGUUGUCCGGAUUUAUUGGGCGUAAAGAGCUCGUAGGCGGCUGAGUAAGUCGGGUGUUAAAUCCCCAGGCUCAACCUGGGACACCACCCGAUACUGCUCUGGCUAGAGUCCGGUAGGGGAGCGUGGAAUUCCUGGUGUAGCGGUGAAAUGCGCAGAUAUCAGGAGGAACACCAGCGGCGAAGGCGGCGCUCUGGGCCGGAACUGACGCUGAGGAGCGAAAGCGUGGGUAGCAAACAGGAUUAGAAACCCCAGUAGUCC